rnacentral:rRNA from 1 species
GAUGAACGCUGGCGGCGUGCCUAAUACAUGCAAGUAGAACGCUGAAGCUUGGUGCUUGCACCGAGCGGAUGAGUUGCGAACGGGUGAGUAACGCGUAGGUAACCUGCCUGGUAGCGGGGGAUAACUAUUGGAAACGAUAGUUAAUACCGCAUAACAGUCGACAUUGCAUGAUGUUGAUUUGAAAGGGGCAAUUGCUCCACUACCAGAUGGACCUGCGUUGUAUUAGCUAGUUGGUGAGGUAACGGCUCACCAAGGCGACGAUACAUAGCCGACCUGAGAGGGUGAUCGGCCACACUGGGACUGAGACACGGCCCAGACUCCUACGGGAGGCAGCAGUAGGGAAUCUUCGGCAAUGGGGGCAACCCUGACCGAGCAACGCCGCGUGAGUGAAGAAGGUUUUCGGAUCGUAAAGCUCUGUUGUAAGAGAAGAACGAGUGUGAGAGUGGAAAGUUCACACUGUGACGGAACUACCAGAAAGGACG